AAAAACAGAGGCACCUCUCUUCAGCCAAUUUUUCCUUCCUUCUCACCUCACAAAUCAACCUCAAUCUUUCCCUCAACUCUCACCAAGCAGCCGCAUACUCUCAUCUCCAGCUCCCCUCACAAGGCAACCCCUGAUUCUCUUCCUCAAAACCAUCACCGGAGCCCCCUCUCCUUCUUUCCUUUUCCUCAGCCGAUUCCCCCUUUUGCCGUCUCCUUCCCCAACAGCAACGGUGAAGCAGCACCGAGAACCGGCCGCCUGAAGAAGUAGCUCCAUCGUAGCUUCAACAGACCCAGCUGCAACAGUGCCCGCAGGCCGGCCACCGAACGGAGUCCUGCACAGAAGCAAGCCGACCGAGCUUGCUCUCUCUUCCAUUCAGCCUCCAGCAGCAGCUCUUUGGACACACGCCGGCCAUCCGAAGCAGAGGAGAAGGUGAUGAAAUCCUUCACAACAGAAGCAGCGCCGGAGGAGGAGAGAACUGAAAUGAUUUGAAAACCGUAACCAAAAAGACCAAAAAAAACAGAUCUGAAAAACAAAGAAAAAGAAUUAAAAUCGACUGCUGUGUUGUUCCCCUUUUUUGUUCUGCAGGUCAUCGCCGACGUUGGGAGGCUGAGAAGAAGCCGAUCCCCCCUGUUGCUGCGUUUUCCCGUGGAGGCACGUGAACCCACGCGCCGCUAGUGGCGGGGGCGCGUGGGAAGACGCGCCGCCACUGAUUCUCUACACCAGAAGCCUCCCAGCACUGUUCCCGUGCACUGUUCCUGCAUGUUCUAGAAGCUUUAGGAUGUUUUAGGGGUUGUUUAGUAAUUUUAGAAUUGUUUAAUGUAAUUUUUGUUUAGUUUUGAGUUUUUGUAAUUUGUAUUUUUGUAAAUAUGGAUGUAAAAGAAAAGAAAAGAAAAGAAAAAGAAAAGAAAAGAAAGAGAAAAUAAUAAUAAAAAAGGGUUGUGUGUGUUGGUGUAUUUUUAUUUAUUUAUUUUGUAUUUGUAUUUGUAUUGUGGAUGUAAAAGAAAAUAAAAAGAAAAGAAAAGAAAAUAGUGAAAAUGUAUGUGUGUGCUUGUAUUUUGUUUUAUUUAUUUGUAUAUAUUUUAAUGAUAAAAUUGCAAAUAUAUUAAAGAAGAAUUUAAUUUUUUGAUCGGAUCACGGUUAAGAAUUAUUAACUUAUACGUAAGUGAUAUUUCUAAUUUCCGAUGAAAAGACAAUUAUUAAAACUUCUUUAACACGUCAAAGCCACGAAGCAGCUUACCUCAGGUAGGGUGCGUUAGGGGUGUUAAUACCUUCCCUAACCACAACCAGUCCCUUACCCGCGCAUCUCUGACAAGACCAGUACAUCCGGUUUCCUAGUAGCCCGAAAUCAAUUACUAGGUGGCAACUCCAACGAACCAAAUUCAAAACAAAUACAACGAGAAAAUCGCCAGCCGAUGCCGCUGGGGAAGGUACUGUUUCUGACAUUAUUGGACUAAGCUUUGUGUAUUUGAUGUGUUUAAGUUUUUUGUAUUUUUAUCUUUUUGUUAAUAUUUUUUCCAUGCAUUUUAUAGAAUUGUUUCAUACAUCACCUGUAUUUAUUAAAGCACACACAAGCUUCUAGGUUAGGUGGGGAACUAGCGAUCUGCCCUAAGACUAUUGGUCAGGGUUCAGAUGCGUGAAACACCAACUCAUAUCUGAGUGCUGCUUGGUUAAUGGUAGGUAUACGUGCCUUAACCAUUCUUGCAACGCCCCCAUACUGUCUUUACGAAGAACGUCAUUGGGCAGAUAUGAGACCCUUUUGAACCAGAUAGAAAACUACCCAUGUUCACAUAAUAAUAGAACCUGUCCUUAAGUUGUAUGUGCUAUCGUUUUUGCAUCAGGGCAAACCCUUCUUGAAGCAUCUUGAACUCAAGACUUGUGGGUGACACAUUGGCCGUCACUCCGAAAAUUUUCAUUGUAGAGUUUGGGCAAAAAUCACGAUUCUUGCUCCAUCAUACAAGAGUUACGACCAUAUUGUCACCUCUCGAAGGGUGAGUUCAUCAUAUAGAUUACAUGUUCAUACAUUUGUCAUGCAUGCACCAGAAUGAAAAGUAGGUCCCCUACGAGUCUACAACACCCGACUUUGAAUGAAGAAAAACUCGGAAGAUGAAGAGUAUGCUCGUCGUAAUUUUUGAAGACAUGUGUGACUUGCUUCUAGCUUACUCGAGUAGAUACUGAAAAAUAACUCUAGGAAAGUUCCUUCCAACCGACCUAUCAUCUUUGUUCAAAACCCAACAAUGACUCAGCCCGAAGAAAUUGGGGGCAAAAUUUGUCAAGAGCCUCGGCAAUCAUGUAUUUUCAAAAGCUUUGGUGGGAAGGCUGACCAAGGGAAUUGCACCACUGGUGCAUAAUGGAGCCUAUUCUUGUGCUGCAAAAAAAAAAAAAAAAAAAACCUUAGUUUGAUCAUGCCUAGAAAAUUUUGUUUCAACCUGUUCCAGUUUUGUUGGUAAUUGGCUCAAAAUUCAAAUUUCCUUGUCAAAUGAGCCUUUUCUUGUUAAUAAGAUCAUGUGUUUUCCUGUUUCAUAAUAUACCUUCAUUUUUGUUGUUGUUUCAUACAAAGAACAUUUUGAGCAUAACCUUUAAGCAUGAAACCAUCACACCAAGAAUCUUUGGGUGUGUUUUUCCUUUCUUUCAAAACUAUGCAUGAUCGCACAUGUUCACAAGGAUUUUUGGGAAUUCAAAGUUUAGUACAGAAACUGAAAUCAUGUUGAUGUUUGUCCAAAACAAACGAGUUCUGGAAAUUCAGGUGAUUCCUUAGAAAGGUAACCAUACACCUAGAAAGAAAGAAAAAAAAACCAUGAAGUGACUCUAAAGUUGAGUUUUGAUUGCAUGAAUAAUGAGAAAUCACUUUGCAUACUCGCAUGAAAGCAAGGCUUACCGAUCCUAAAUGCAUGAUUUGAAAUGAAGAAAGGCCAUCUUUGAUAAUCUUUUCACAGGCUAAAUAUAUCAUUUGUAGUCCCUUUUGAGCCUAAUAAUAUUUCUUGAGAAAAAACCUUGGCUAGGAUCACACCCCACACUGGGGCAAGUGCGAUGACAUAGAGAAAACCUCAAUGAUCGAAAGUGCCCAAGCAAUACUAGGGGCAUAAAAGAAAAUUCUCAAUCAUCAAAGGUGCCCGAACAAAUCUAGGGGCAUGAAGAAAAAACCAAAGGAUCAAAGUUUUGAGCAUAAAAAAAAAAAACAAUAUAUGAUGCUCAAAACCAUAUGAAGAAAACAAAAACAAAGAGAAGCCCAAGCCCAACACAAGGGGGCACGAUAGACAAUUUUCGAAAGACAGUCAAAUGACAAAAGGUCAAGAAACAAGCACAAGUGAUCCUUAGUCUUCAAAUCCCUUAAACACCUUUUGAGCCUACAAAUAUCAUUUUCUUCAUAACCAAGAGCCCAAGCCUACAUUACGUGCCUAAUCAAGCCCUUUCUGAUCAAAGGCAAGCAAUCUGGAUCGGUAGGCAAUGCUUUCUCAUGUGAACCAAAUCAUUAUUCAUGCAAAUAAAAUAAAUGCUUUGAACCUCGGUUCUCAAUAACCCUCAAAUUGAAAUUUAAACCUUUUCUGACAAACCAGAGUCACUUCAUAUUUUUUUACCAAAAGCCAAAACAAAAAAGUUUUCAUCACUUCUGAUAACCUCUCCAUAGGAAACACUUGAAUUUUUUAGAAUGAGUUUGCUUUGAAUCGAUGUCAAAAUAAUUUUGUGUCUGGAAUAACUUUGGAAUUCCAAAAAUUCUGCAUGAAAACACCUUGUCAAACCUACCUUCACAUAGCCUUAUCCCCAAACCUGAUUGAAACUUGGGGGCAUGAUCAAGCUAGGGGGCAAUAAAGAAACAUAUGAUAGGGCUGGCUCCAUGAUUCCCAUUCUAAGAAAAUGUCGAGCAAAAUUGGCAACCCUUGAGAUAAAGAGGCGGAGGACAAAGAAGUAUGAUAUCAAGUCUUUCCUAGAGGUCAAAAUCACAAGAGAUGACUCGAGUAAGCAAGAGCGAAAAGCCAUCGAAGUUCACUGCCAACACUCAAACUUUUGAGAAAAGAAACACACCAUGAAGAAAUGGGGACCUAUUAUUUCAAAUCAGGUAAGGAUGCAUGCAUAUCAUCUAACCUCAAAAAAAAAAAAAUUGCACAUAUUUUUUAAUUGUUACAGGAAAAUCCUUAAUGAGGUCCAGCAAGAUGGUGGAAAAAGAAGAAGCAUGUGGUGAUAAUAAAGAAUCGAUUUUGAUCAUGGAAUAAAAAGGAAGAUGGGAUAACCUACCAUUAGGAAAAUCCCAAAAAAUGAAAAGAUCAACCUUGCAAUCGGGAAGCCUCGAGUUUUCAACCUUGCAGUCAGGAAACACCGAGUUUUCAAACCUAUGAUCGGAAUUAUCAGGAAGCACCAAGUUUUCCAGCCCUUCUUCUGUCAUCCCCUGAAAGACUUCGCCAGGUAAGUCCUAUUUUUCACACUUGUCAUAUCACAUUUUUUCCAUUGGGUAGGUCACCCAUGACAAUGAGACCGCACUUCACAUUUUUUUCCAUCCGGGUAGGUCACCCAUGACAAUGAGACCACACUUCAUAUUUUUUCCAUUGGGUAGGUCACCCAUUACAAUGAGACCGCACUUCAUAUUUUCUAUUUGGGUAGGUCGCCCAUCACAACGAGACCACUUCUCAUAUUUUUCCAUUGGGUAGGUCACCCAUUACAAUGAGACCACUUCAUUUUUUCCAUUGGGUAGGUCACCCAUUACAAUGGACCGCACUUCAUCAUUUUUCCAUUGGGUAGGUCACCCAUACAAUGAGACCAUCACUUUUUCUUGGGUCGGUCACCCAUACAAUGAGACCAUCAUUUUUCUUGGGUCACCCAUACAAUGAGACCAUCAUUUUUCUUGGGUCACCCAUACAAUGAGACCAUCAUUUUUCUUGGGUAGCACCCAUACAAUGAGACCAUCAUUUUUCUUGGGUCGGUCACCCAUACAAUGAGACCAUCAUUUUUUUGGUAGGUCACCCAUACAAUGAGACCAUCAUUUUUCUUGGGUAGGUCACCCAUACAAUGAGACCAUUUUUACACAUUCUUUGUUUUGGUUAAAUGAGGUCGCCAGAUGGAUCUCGGUAGCUUUGGUUAAAGGGAAUCGCCAGAUGGGAUUUUCAGGUUAACCGAGUUACACAAUAUUUUCGUUCAGUUGAAUGAGGUCGCCAGAUGGGAUCUCAGGUAAACCCAAUGUGUGGGCAGGUCGCCCGUGAAAAUAGACCAUUGGGAGAGUGUGGGUCGGUCGCCCGUGAAAAUAGACCAGAGUGAGUAUGUGUGGGCAGGUCGUCCGUGAAAAUAGAUCAGUGUGAGUAUGUGGGCAGGUCGCCCAAGAUAAUAAAAUCAUUUUCCUUUUGUUUUCUUUACAAAGCUUACUAUGCAAAAUUUUGAGGAGUUUUGCUUCGUAAGCAUUGUAAAGAGGGGGCAUCUGUUGCUAUCCAAUUUUUGACCCAUGUUUUGAUAUAUUUUUAAAAAAUCCAAAAAAAUUGAGAAAAACAAAGAAAAUCCAAAAAAAUAUGUUUUUUAAUAUAUUUUCGUCAUUUUAGCAUUUUCAACGUCGUCUAAAAAAGAAUUUAAAUUGUUAAAAUAUUUUCAAACACGUUCGACUUGUCACGCGUCAUUUUUAAAAUCAUUGAUUUUCCGCAUUUGAGUCGACGUUGAUAUUGCUCGUUUUCAAAAAAUACAAAAAAAUAAGAAAAAUUAAAAUUUACAAAAAGAAAGAAGUUGAGGGACCAAGUUGAAAAACUUGGCAACAUUUUUGCCUAUAAAUACUGGUCUUUAACUCACACAAAAGGGGGGGGGGUUUCAUUUUGUAAUUUUAGGGAGGAAAGAAAGAACCCUAAAAAACUAAACUUUUCUUCUUCUUUACUGACAGCAGCCGCCAGGGAGGCCCCCCCCCGGGAAAUUUUUUCCUUCUCUGCGCACAGCCCCCACUGGUUUUCAUUUUUGGCUCCCUGAGCCGCCACCCUUCUCCUCGACAAAAAAAACAAGGAGGCCCCUCCAUUUUGAUUUUCUUUUUCUGGAGCUGCCGAUCAAGCCUCUAUUCCCGGUUGAGCUGCCUUUGCAGAGUCUCUUUUGAAAAGAGAGAACCAGAGCUCCUGACCCGAACAGGAGCUCUGGAGAUUUUUGCUCCCAUGACCAUUUCGGCAUCUCCCACGCGAGCCAGGAACUGACCCCCUCUCUUUGAAAAACAGAGGCACCUCUCUUCAGCCAAUUUUUCCUUCCUUCUCACCUCACAAAUCAACCUCAAUCUUUCCCUCAACUCUCACCAAGAAGCCGUAUACUCUCAUCUCCAGCUCCCCUCACAAGGCAGCCCCUGAUUCUCUUCCUCAAAACCAUCACCGGAGCCCUCUCUCUUUCUUUCCUUUUCCUCAGCCGAUUCCCCCUCUUGCCGUCUCCUUCCCCAACAGCAACGGUGAAGCAGCACCGAGAACCGGCCGCCUGAAGAAGUAGCUCCA
rnacentral:lncRNA from 1 species